rnacentral:rRNA from 1 species
UAAUACUCCAUAGAUUAGAGACACUGGAAUGUUCUUUAGUCGAAAGUUCUGGCGCCUUAGGAUGGAUCUGCGGUCGAUUAGGUUGUUGUUGGGGUAACGGCCCACCAAGCCUGUAAUCGAUACGGGUUGUGGGAGCAAGAGCCCGGAGAUGGAAUCUGAGACACGAUUCCAGGCCCUACGGGGCGCAGCAGGCGCGAAAACUUUACAAUGCAGGAAACUGUGAUAAGGGAACUCCGAGUGCCCGUAUACGCGGGCUGUCCAGGUGUUUAAAAAUCAUCUGAAGAAAGGGCCGGGCAAGACCGGUGCCAGCCGCCGCGGUAAUACCGGCGGCUCGAGUGGUGGCCACUAUUAUUGGGCUUAAAGCGUCCGUAGCUGGACCGAUAAGUCUCUUGGGAAAUCCGCCGGCUCAACCGGCGGGCGUCUAAGGGAUACUGUUAGUCUAGGGACCGGGAGAGGUGAGAGGUACUCCGGGGGUAGGAGUGAAAUCCUGUAAUCCCCGGGGGACCACCGAUGGCGAAGGCAUCUCACCAGAACGGCUCCGACAGUGAGGGACGAAAGCUGGGGGAGCGAACCGGAUUAGAUACCCGGGUAGUCCCAGCCGUAAACUAUGCGCGUUAGGUGU